GUGGCUGUAGCUCAGUGGUAGAGCGCCAGGUUGUGGCCCUGGAGGCCGAGGGUCCGAUCCCCUCCAGUCACC
rnacentral:tRNA from 1 species